rnacentral:rRNA from 1 species
UACGUAGGGUGCAAGCGUUGUCCGGAAUUAUUGGGCGUAAAGAGCUCGUAGGCGGUUUGUUGCGUCGACUGUGAAAUCCCGAGGCUCAACCUCGGGUCUGCAGUCGAUACGAGCAAACUAGAGUGUUGCAGGGGAGACUGGAAUUCCUGGUGUAGCGGUGAAAUGCGCAGAUAUCAGGAGGAACACCAAUGGCGAAGGCAGAUCUCUGGGCCGUAACUGACGCUGAGGAGCGAAAGCAUGGGGAGCGAACAGG